rnacentral:rRNA from 1 species
GAUGAACGCUGGCGGCGUGCUUAACACAUGCAAGUCGAACGAAGCAUUUGCGACAGAUUUUUUCGGAAUGAAGUUGCUUAUGACUGAGUGGCGGACGGGUGAGUAACGCGUGGGUAACCUGCCUUGUACUGGGGGAUAGCAGCUGGAAACGGCUGGUAAUACCGCAUAAGCGCACAAUGUUGCAUGACAUGGUGUGAAAAACUCCGGUGGUAUAAGAUGGACCCGCGUCUGAUUAGCUAGUUGGUGAGAUAACAGCCCACCAAGGCGACGAUCAGUAGCCGACCUGAGAGGGUGACCGGCCACAUUGGGACUGGGACACGGCCCAGACUCCUACGGGAGGCAGCAGUGGGGAAUAUUGCACAAUGGAGGAAACUCUGAUGCAGCGACGCCGCGUGAGUGAAGAAGUAAUUCGUUAUGUAAAGCUCUAUCAGCAGGGAAGAUAGUGACGGUACCUGACGAAGAAGCUCCGGCUAAAUACGUG